CAAUAGCGUAUAUUAAAGUUGUUGCGGUUAAAAAGCUCGUAGUUGGAUUUCUGCCGAGGACGACCGGUCCGCCCUCUGGGUGAGUAUCUGGCUCGGCCUGGGCAUCUUCUUGGAGAACGUAGCUGCACUUGACUGUGUGGUGCGGUAUCCAGGACUUUUACUUUGAGGAAAUUAGAGUGUUUCAAGCAGGCUUACGCCUUGAAUACAUUAGCAUGGAAUAAUAAGAUAGGACCUCGGUUCUAUUUUGUUGGUUUCUAGAGCUGAGGUAAUGAUUAAUAGGGAUAGUUGGGGGCACCUGUAUUGCGUUGUCAGAGGUGAAAUUCUUGGAUUUACGCAAGACAAACAGCUGCGAAAGCGUCUGCCAAGGAUGUUUNCAUUAA
rnacentral:rRNA from 1 species